CCAGCAGAUGUCACUGUGCUGCUGCUGAGUCUGAAGCCUCAAAGCUUCACAAAGCUUCCUGCACCGUCCCUAAAAACACAUACAAUUUAAUACAAGUUUAUUACAGCAUGUGAUGAUGAUGAUGAUGAUGUCAUUGUGUCGUCCUGCAGCCCUGCUCUGAGAAAGUCAUCAGUCUGAUGCAGAAACACAUGGAGGUGGUGCUGGGGAUCGCCUUCGCCAUCGCCAUCCUGCUGAUCUUCGGCAUGGUCUUUUCCAUGAUUCUCUACUGUCAGAUCGGCAAGAAGGAGGGCCCCACCCCCGCCUGAGGGCCAACAUGGGGCCCCACCCCGGCCUGAGGGCCAACACGUGGCCCCGCCCCUCGCUGCCAGCCAGCAGUGCCCCAAUGACCCAUGUAACAUCAAUGCUACUGUAACCUGACGUGUGCUUUUAUUGUGGAGGAACACGCUGAUAAUUUGGUUAAACUACCACAUUAAUACAUAACCUCUGUGUAAUAUAUGGAGUCUCAAGAGUGACACAAUUUAAAUAUUUAAGCAAAUUUGAGUGUGAAAAUGCAACAUAAGGUAAAAUAAAUGGGUUUUUACUUUUGAAUUUUUCAAAUUAAUCAGAGUGUUCCUUUAACUUUACAGAAAACCUGUGAUAAUUAUUAUUUUAUGAUUUUUUUUUUAAACUCAAGUCCAAAGUCUGUUUCUGUUCACAUUGCGGGCUAAAAAAAAAAAAAAUGGAAGCCCAUUACUGCCUCAUAAAUACAAGGUUAAGUAUUAUUUAAUUAUUCACACAUUCUUAAAAGAAACUAAACUUGUGAUUCUUUUCUGUGUUCUGGUUGAAAUCAAACUGUUUGCUAAAUUGAAGUGUUGAAUCAAAGUUUUGACAUGAUCUAGUUUUAUUUUUUAUGGUUAUUUUGCAGGAGUGGGCUUCCAUAUUUGUGUCCAGAUAUACACUGCUGUAGCUGUCUGUCACGUCUGCUGCCAUAUGUUAAAAAUAUGUCAAAAUAACCCUCAGGAAAUUUAAAGUUGUGGUGUAACUCCAUCAGAAGUAAAACAUCUAUAAAUAAAUCAUACUAAGCCUUGAAAUUCACAUCUUUGACCACGUUGUUCUAUAACUCAUGAGCGUCUGAUUGUAAAAGUGUCUUGUAACUGUUUUUCUUUUCUUUUUUUUACUGGCACUGUCUGAACACUGUAAGGAUGUUGUUAUUUGUUUCUGUCACCUGACUGAGUUCAGUUUGGGGACGUGAAGUGUCAUAUUAUACAAGAAGGGAAAUAAAAACUAGAGUGAAUUAAAAUAAA